rnacentral:rRNA from 1 species
GACGAACGCUGGCGGCGUGCCUAAUACAUGCAAGUAGAACGCUGAAGGAGGAGCUUGCUUCUCUGGAUGAGUUGCGAACGGGUGAGUAACGCGUAGGUAACCUGCCUGGUAGCGGGGGAUAACUAUUGGAAACGAUAGCUAAUACCGCAUAAGAGUAGAUGUUGCAUGACAUUUGCUUAAAAGGUGCAAUUGCAUCACUACCAGAUGGACCUGCGUUGUAUUAGCUAGUUGGUGAGGUAACGGCUCACCAAGGCGACGAUACAUAGCCGACCUGAGAGGGUGAUCGGCCACACUGGGACUGAGGCACGGCCCAGACUCCUACGGGAGGCAGCAGUAGGGAAUCUUCGGAAAUGGACGGAAGUCUGACCGAGCAACGCCGCGUGAGUGAAGAAGGUUUUCGGAUCGUAAAGCUCUGUUGUAAGAGAAGAACGAGUGUGAGAGUGGAAAGUUCACACUGUGACGGUAUCUUACCAGAAAGGGACGGCUAACUACGUG